rnacentral:rRNA from 1 species
CGCGCGAGUCAUUGGGCAGUGCGAAACCCAAAGGCGCAGUGAAAGCGAGGGUCCUCGGACCCAGGUGGGAUCCUUCUUCCCUCGUUCGCGUUCGCGUUCGCGCGGCGCGGGGGUGGCCAGGAGGCGCACCACCGGCCCGUCCCGACUGCGUCGGCAGUGGGGCGGAGCAGGAGCGUGCACGCUGGGACCCGAAAGAUGGUGAACUAUGCCUGAGCAGAAGGAAGCCAGAGGAAACUCUGGUGGAAGUUCGUAGCGAUUCUGACGUGCAAAUCGAUCGUCAAACUUGGGUAUAGGG